GAGUUUGAUCCUGGUUCAGGACGAACGCUGGCGGCGUGCCUAACACAUGCAAGUCGAGCGAUGAAACCCCUUCGGGGGUGGAUUAGCGGCGGACGGGUGAGUAACACGUGGGUAACCUGCCUCAAAGUGGGGGAUAGCCUUCCGAAAGGAAGAUUAAUACCGCAUAAAGCCAAGUUUCACAUGGAAUUUGGAUGAAAGGAGUAAUUCGCUUUGAGAUGGACCCGCGGCGCAUUAGUUAGUUGGUGGGGUAAUGGCCUACCAAGACAGCGAUGCGUAGCCGACCUGAGAGGGUGAUCGGCCACAUUGGAACUGAGAUACGGUCCAGACUCCUACGGGAGGCAGCAGUGGGGAAUAUUGCACAAUGGGCGAAAGCCUGAUGCAGCAACGCCGCGUGAGUGAUGAAGUCUUCGGAUUGUAAAGCUCUGUCUUUUGGGACGAUAAUGACGGUACCAAAGGAGGAAGCCACGGCUAACUACGUGCCAGCAGCCGCGGUAAUACGUAGGUGGCGAGCGUUGUCCGGAUUUACUGGGCGUAAAGGGUGCGUAGGCGGAUGUUUAAGUGAGAUGUGAAAUACCCGGGCUUAACUUGGGUGCUGCAUUUCA
rnacentral:rRNA from 1 species